rnacentral:tRNA from 1 species
AGCGGAGUAGCUUAACGGGUAGAGCGCUGUGCCGGUUAACCCCACACAGAGAUGUAGGUUCGACUCCUGCCCCCGCUA